GGGCCCGCACAAGCGGUGGAGCAUGUGGUUUAAUUCGAUGCAACGCGAAGAACCUUACCAAGCCUUGACAUCCUCGGAACUUUCCAGAAAUGGAUUGGUGCCUUCGGGAACCGAGUGACAGGUGCUGCAUGGCUGUCGUCAGCUCGUGUCGUGAGAUGUUGGGUUAAGUCCCGUAACGAGCGCAACCCCUACCGUUAGUUGCCAGCGAUUCAAGUCGGGGACUCUAACGGGACUGCCGGUGCAAACCGUGAGGAAGGUGGGGACGACGUCAAAUCAUCACGGCCCUUACGUCCUGGGCUACACACGUGCUACAAUGGCUAGGACAGACGGCUGCAAACCAGCGAUGGGGAGCUAAUCCGACAAAACUUGUCGUAGUCCGGAUCGAAGUCUGCAACUCGACUUCGUG
rnacentral:rRNA from 1 species